UUUUUUAUAAAAAUAAAUUUAGAUAGAAAUAUGAAUCAAUUAGAAUUCGAACUUAAAAUUUCGAGUACCAACCAUCAAAUUUUUUGUCAAUUAUGCUAGCUCUAUUAAUAUAUUACUAGAUGAUUACGUAAUUACUGAUUUUUCUUUUUUUCCGAAGGGCUUUCAUGAGUUUUUUCAAGAAAUGCUUCUUCUUAUGGCUAAAGUGAGGAGAGAGGAGAGGAAAUACAGUUUAGCGGAGUUACAGCAAAUGUUGGUUGAGAUGGCUUGCAGUUUUGCGCCAUCUCCUCCUCCUAGUAAUGGGUUCGCCGCCGGAGUAUCGACCGUAGAUGCGGGAAGAUUCGGCAAUGGUGCAGAUCGAAUGGCGGAAAUUAAAUCCGGUGUUCGUGUGUCGGGUGUAGGGAGAUUGGGGAGCACAGGCUCUUACUAUGUGUAGCACUUGUCCUGAUAUAGAGAUGUUGUGUGUAAAAAUAUUUUUGUAGUUGGAUGAGUUAAUUUUGCAAAUAGUGGAGUUAGAAAUUUUGGGUUUUUGUGAUCGAAAAUAAGAAGGGAACUUCAAUUAGGUUUA